rnacentral:rRNA from 1 species
UACGUAGGGUGCGAGCGUUAAUCGGAAUUACUGGGCGUAAAGAGUGCGCAGGCGGCUUCGCAAGUCAGGCGUGAAAUCCCCGGGCUCAACCUGGGAAUGGCGUCUGAAACUGCGGGGCUAGAGUGUGGCAGAGGGAGGUGGAAUUCCACGUGUAGCGGUGAAAUGCGUAGAGAUGUGGAGGAACACCGAUGGCGAAGGCAGCCUCCUGGGUCAACACUGACGCUCAUGCACGAAAGCGUGGGGAGCAAACAGG